UAUUAACAUUGCUAUUAAUUGCAUAUUAGCAUUGCCAAUAAUUGUAUCUUAAAAUUGCUAAUAAUGAAAUAUUAGCAUAAUAACAGUUCUGUUGCAUGAGAUCAAGUGUGAACAUUUCUUUAUAGCACAAUGGCGAUCUUAUAAAGCGUUUCAUGGUGUGUAUAAUUACAUAUUAUGAUCUGAAAUGCUAACACUGAUGAAGAAAUAUUGCAAGUAGCUGAGUAGAGAGUAAUAUGUAUCCAUAGUGUGAUUGAUGGUUAUGGAUUUAUUUUGCAAAUUUUUCAAACUACUCUGCUCUUCUGCUGAAAUCCGGCCAUGAAAGUACUACAAGUACUCACCAUAAUCAACCAUAAUAAUCACUCUGGGUUGUGAUAUUUCCUGCAUGUAGUAAGGAUGAUAUAGGUGUAUGAUAUUGUUGUACUGUGUACUGUGUAGUGUAACAAUGCCAGUCCCCAUGUACAUAUCUCUAUUCCAAAUAUUUCAUCAAGUAUAACUAGGAAAGACAAAAUGACCCCAAAUUAAGUAGGCGUGUUUCAUCCUUGUCCAAUGUGGUUUCCUUUGGAUGAACCUCUGAUGUCAAUUAUACUACGAGUACUGAUCAAUACAGUACAUGCUUUUCUCUCAUGUUGUUACGUUGGUGGAUCAUCAGGAAGUAUCACAGUGUCCUUCUAGCCAAGACCCCCACUCGGACUCUUCUAUCUGACUUUACAAAGUAUAAAGGGUAUGUAGGUUAGCCCACAGCUUUGGGAUAGAAGGAGGUGCUGGAUAGAAGGAGGUGUCGGAUAGAAGGUGUAGGACAGAAGGAGGUGCUGGAUAGAAGGAGGUGUUGGCAAGAAGGAGUUUGUGGACAGAAGGAGGUGUAGGACACAAGGAGGUGCUGGAUAGAAGGAGGUGUUGGAGAGAAGGAGUUUGUGGACAGAAGGACGUGUAGGAUAAAGGUGUAGGACAGAAGGAGGUGCUGGAUAGAAGGAGGUGUUGGAGAGAAGGACUUUGUGGACAGAAGGAGGUGUAGGAUAGAAGGUGUAGGACAGAAGGAGGUGUUGGAUAGAAGGAGGUCUAGAACGGAAGGAGGUGUUGGACAGAAGGAAGUGUUUGCUAGAAGGAGGUUUAAGACAGAAGGAGGUUUAGAAUGGAAGGAGGUUUGGACAGAAGGAAGUGUUUGCUAGAAGGAGGUUUAGGACAGAAGGAGGUUUAGGACUGAGGGAGGUGUUGGCUGGAAGGAGGUUUAGGAUAGAAGCAGGUUUAGGACAAAAGUAGGCGUUGGCUGGAAGGAGGUUUAGGAUAGAAGGAGGUGUGGGACAGAAGGAGGUGUUGGACAGAUGGAAGUGUUUGCUAGAAGAAGGUGUAGGACAGAAGGAGGUUUAGGACAGAGAGAGGUGUUGGUUGGAAGGAGGUUUAGAACAGAGGAGGUUUAGGACAGAGUGAGGUGUUGGCUGGAAGGAGGUUUAGAACAGAGGAGGUUUAGGACAGAAGGAGGUGUUGGACAGAUGGAAAUGUUUGCUAGAAGGUUUAGGACAGAGUGAGGUAUUGGCUGGAAGGAGGUUUAGAACAGAAGGAGGUGUUUGCUGGAAGGAGGUUUAGGAAAGAGAGAGGUGUUGGACAGAAGGAGGUGUAGGACAGAAGGAGGUGUUGCAGGUAGAGUAGAUGACGGUUGCUAGCCCAUAGCCCAUCGGUGGAUAGCAGGGUGCUAUCAUGGUGUGGUUAGGUUUCCUCCCCCAUGCACCAAGUGAAAGUGUGUAUUGCAGCAGGCUAUUCUCCCUGUUGCUAUGGUAAUAGGCAAGUAAAAAAAACAUGUUUUGGCAUUUUGAGCGCCAUGCUUUUUACGUCCUCUGAGCUCUUCCACCCCCAUUGUUUACACUUAGCUCUUUUUGCCGACUUGCACUUUUUAUUAUGCAUAAUGCACCCUCCUCUUUAGUCUGCCAUUAAUUGCUAAUCUUCACAGGUCUCAGAGAAAAAGCAGAUUUAAGUGCAAUACCCCUGCAACAAAUCUUCUAUACCCUUCAUGCUUGAACAGUUUUGGUUGAGCUGGUCAAUGACAACUUUAUUUCACUUUCUCUACAUCAUCAAGGAAGUUGUGAUGUAUUUCUUCAAGCUUGACAUUUACCAACAAGACACUGUACGUAUUUCACCAUACGUAAUAAGACUUUAUUCGUCUUCAAAUGUGCUUGACUUGAACUCAUCAAGUCCCUUAGUGGCUAUAGCCUGUCAUGUGACCAUAACAGGAUGACCGUUCCUCAGUUUUGUCCGUUUUUUUUUUUUCUUUUUUUACCUUCAAAGCUAAUUCUACAGCCAUUAAUGCAAGGGUGGGACAUAUUACAAUUCAGCUCUUCUUAUUGUACUUCCUCAAUGAAGUAAUAGAAAAGAAGCUGCAGGAAGUAGCUAGCUUUUAUCUUUAACCCAUGAAAAAGAAGCCAUAAGAAGCCAUGGUGUGGCCCCAAUAUGGCAGCCUAUCACAGCAGGAAUGGAAUCACUCCUAUUAGAAACGCUUGACCUCAUGCCGUGUCUCCAAAGCCGAGGUCACAACUCGUCACAAGCUGCAUUUUUUGAUUCAUGGUUUGUUUAAUUGUGGUGACCAUGAAGGAGUAACAUCACCGUGCACCCAACGUACAGUCCAACAUGCGACAUCUGACGCUGCUUGGGCUUGCAAUAAAAGAACUAACCUGUCGUUA